AGAAGCAAGAAGCUGUCUUCCCGCCCCCGCGUGCCUACAAUCAGCCCCAGUCUCCCUGGGAAACAUGACGAGCUCACCUGAGCUGGGUUCUGAGCUCCAGCGUUUGGGGCUAAAAGUUGCGGACUGGUAGCUGAGGCGGCACGAGAGUAUAGGCGCGCGGGGUCGUUGCCGGGGGCACAGAGUGAGAACAAGCAAGGGAGCCCUGCUGAAUUGCAGCUUAGGAAGCCCUGAAUCCUGGAGGAUCUUACCUCAUUUCCAACAAACAACAAAAUACCUACCAAAACAACAACAAAACACCAAGCUCUGGUCCUUCACUGAGAUAUGUUCCUGACCCUUCCUUCUUGAAGGGACAGCUGUGUAACCAUUCAACCAUCUGGCCAUCAGUUUCCACAUCUGUGAAAUCAACUUCUGCCUCAUGGAGCCAUGAGUUCCCAAGAGUUUCACUCUUGUUGCCUAGGUUGGAGUGCAAUGGCACGAUCUCAGCUCACUGCAACCUCUGCCUCCUGGAUUCAAGCAAACCUGAUGCCCCAGCCUCCUGAGUAGCUGGGAUUACAGACAUGCACCACCAUCCCUGGAUAAUUUUGUAUUUUUAGUAGAGACAGGGUUUCUCCAUGUUGGUCAGGCUGGUCUCAAACUGCCAACCUCAGUUGAUCCGCCUGCCUUGGCCUCUCAAAGUGCUGGAAUUACAGGUGUGAGCCACUGUUCCCGGCCUUAUUUUUAUUAAUUCUUAUUGAAUAAUAAAAGUAUUUAAAAGUAUGUGUUUUAUUCUGAGUAAGGUGUAAGUACUUCUCAUAAAUUUAAAUGUUGUGUUGUCAUACUUAUAGGUCACUGGUGCUUUCUAAUUAGUCUGCUGUUGAUGCUUUGAAUUUCUGUGACUUAAUAGUGUACAUUUUAUUUCUAGUUAAUAAGUGGACUUUUAUUUAUUAUUUGUGUUUUGUUGCCAUGCAAAUAUUUACUUUUAUUAUAUUGUAGUCAAAGAACGUGCCUUUAUUAGUUGUACUAUUUGGGAUAUAUUAAGAAACCCUUUUAUAAAAUGCAUCAUGAAUUUUGAAAAGAAUAUGCAUUGUCUAUGUGUAAAAAGCUCAAUAUAUAUACAUGCUAAGCUUUUAAAUUAUAUAACGUAUAUUUGUUAGCUUGUUCUGUAGAAGACUGAGAGACAUAGAUUAAUGUCUGAUUUUUUUCAAUCUAUUCAUAUAAUUUCUCACAAAUUUUAUUAGGUAUAUUUUAAAACUAUGUUAUUUAGCACAUGAACACUCACUGAUUUAGCUUGAAAAAUUAUAUUAAAUUCUUAUCAUUGUACAUUUGCCUAGAUGUCUGGCAUAUAGUAGACAUUUAACAAACAGAAAUUUAAUUAUGGCCUUAAAUUUUUUAAAAAUAAUUUUGAAUGCCACUUAUUUAUUAGCAUCAAUAUCAUAUCACUUAUAUUGGUUGGAAUAUGCUUUAAAAUAUGUUAGCCAGAAAAAAGUAUAUGGAAGAGAUGACAGAAGAUUGACCAAAAAAAAAAAAUGUUGAUAAUCACCAGUGUUGGAUGGGGAUAUGUGAGGGUUAAUAACAAUAUUCUCUUUUUUUGUUUAUGCUUGAAAUUUUUCACAAUAAAAGAUU